rnacentral:rRNA from 1 species
UCCUUUUUCCCCCCCCCCUUUAGAGUUUGGAUCAUGGCUCAGAUUGAACGCUGGCGGCAGGCCUAACACAUGCAAGUCGAACGGUAACAGGAAGCAGCUUGCUGCUUUGCUGACGAGUGGCGGACGGGUGAGUAAUGUCUGGGAAACUGCCUGAUGGAGGGGGAUAACUACUGGAAACGGUGGCUAAUACCGCAUAACGUCGCAAGACCAAAGAGGGGGACCUUCGGGCCUCUUGCCAUCAGAUGUGCCCAGAUGGGAUUAGCUUGUUGGUGAGGUAACGGCUCACCAAGGCGACGAUCCCUAGCUGGUCUGAGAGGAUGACCAGCCACACUGGAACUGAGACACGGUCCAGACUCCUACGGGAGGCAGCAGUGGGGAAUAUUGCACAAUGGGCGCAAGCCUGAUGCAGCCAUGCCGCGUGUAUGAAGAAGGCCUUCGGGUUGUAAAGUACUUUCAGCGGGGAGGAAGGUGUUGUGGUUAAUAACCGCAGCAAUUGACGUUACCCGCAGAAGAAGCACCGGCUAACUCCGUGCCAGCAGCCGCGGUAAUACGGAGGGUGCAAGCGUUAAUCGGAAUUACUGGGCGUAAAGCGCACGCAGGCGGUCUGUCAAGUCGGAUGUGAAAUCCCCGGGCUCAACCUGGGAACUGCAUUCGAAACUGGCAGGCUUGAGUCUUGUAGAGGGGGGUAGAAUUCCAGGUGUAGCGGUGAAAUGCGUAGAGAUCUGGAGGAAUACCGGUGGCGAAGGCGGCCCCCUGGACAAAGACUGACGCUCAGGUGCGAAAGCGUGGGGAGCAAACAGGAUUAGAUACCCUGGUAGUCCACGCCGUAAACGAUGUCUACUUGGAGGUUGUGCCCUUGAGGCGUGGCUUCCGGAGCUAACGCGUUAAGUAGACCGCCUGGGGAGUACGGCCGCAAGGUUAAAACUCAAAUGAAUUGACGGGGGCCCGCACAAGCGGUGGAGCAUGUGGUUUAAUUCGAUGCAACGCGAAGAACCUUACCUGGUCUUGACAUCCACAGAACUUUCCAGAGAUGGAUUGGUGCCUUCGGGAACUGUGAGACAGGUGCUGCAUGGCUGUCGUCAGCUCGUGUUGUGAAAUGUUGGGUUAAGUCCCGCAACGAGCGCAACCCUUAUCCUUUGUUGCCAGCGGUCCGGCCGGGAACUCAAAGGAGACUGCCAGUGAUAAACUGGAGGAAGGUGGGGAUGACGUCAAGUCAUCAUGGCCCUUACGACCAGGGCUACACACGUGCUACAAUGGCGCAUACAAAGAGAAGCGACCUCGCGAGAGCAAGCGGACCUCAUAAAGUGCGUCGUAGUCCGGAUUGGAGUCUGCAACUCGACUCCAUGAAGUCGGAAUCGCUAGUAAUCGUGGAUCAGAAUGCCACGGUGAAUACGUUCCCGGGCCUUGUACACACCGCCCGUCACACCAUGGGAGUGGGUUGCAAAAGAAGUAGGUAGCUUAACCUUCGGGAGGGCGCUUACCACUUUGUGAUUCAUGACUGGGGUGAAGUCGUACAGGGGGAAACCCGUAAAAAGGG